UAGUUUAACAAAACUAACAGCUCUUUCAAGAUUAUGUGGUAGGUGGUGCAUGGCCGUUCUUAGUUCGUGAAGUGAUUCGUUCGCCCAAUCGCAUUUCCAAACAACUAACAACUCAGAAUGCUGGGCAAUAGGACGUUUAAAGUGGCUCCUUACACCUUACAAAGGAAUGGCUGAUGAGAAACAACUCGAUCCGCUCAGCGUUCUAUUGGAAUGCAACGGACGUGAUUGCAAGCUUUUGUUUUGAGUUGCGGUUUUACUGAAAGACUCUACAAUCCGCAAACUUCAAUGAUCUGAAGUAGAAAACCUACAUGCUACAGUGAGAUAUUGUGGAUAAACUUAAGCGACCGCUCCAACAUUGUGUUUUUUUAAAACUGAUGAAGGUUGCGGCAAUAAC
rnacentral:rRNA from 1 species